rnacentral:tRNA from 1 species
GGGGUUGUGGCUCAGUGGUAGAGCACUUGCCUAGCACGUGUGAGGCACUGGGUUUGAUUCUCAGCACCA